UGUAAUUCAGUUAGCUCAAAUGGU
rnacentral:siRNA from 1 species